rnacentral:rRNA from 1 species
UUAAGCAUAUCAAUAAGCGGAGGAAAAGAAACCAACAGGGAUUGCCCUAGUAACGGCGAGUGAAGCGGCAACAGCUCAAAUUUGAAAUCUGGCUCUCGGGCCCGAGUUGUAAUUUGUAGAGGAUACUUUUGAUGCGGUGCCUUCCGAGUUCCCUGGAACGGGACGCCAUAGAGGGUGAGAGCCCCGUCUGGUUGGAUGCCAAAUCUCUGUAAAGUUCCUUCAACGAGUCGAGUAGUUUGGGAAUGCUGCUCUAAAUGGGAGGUAUAUGUCUUCUAAAGCUAAAUACCGGCCAGAGACCGAUAGCGCACAAGUAGAGUGAUCGAAAGAUGAAAAGCACUUUGAAAAGAGAGUUAAAAAGUACGUGAAAUUGUUGAAAGGGAAGCGUUUAUGACCAGACUUGGGCUUGGUUAAUCAUCUGGGGUUCUCCCCAGUGCACUUUUCCAGUCCAGGCCAGCAUCAGUUUUCCCCGGGGGAUAAAGGCGGCGGGAAUGUGGCUCUCUUCGGGGAGUGUUAUAGCCCACCGUGUAAUACCCUGGGGGGGACUGAGGUUCGCGCAUCUGCAAGGAUGCUGGCGUAAUGGUCAUCAACGACCCGUCUUGAAACACGGACCAAGGAGUCGUCUUCGUAUGCGAGUGUUCGGGUGUCAAACCCCUACGCGUAAUGAAAGUGAACGCAGGUGAGAGCUUCGGCGCAUCAUCGACCGAUCCUGAUGUUCUCGGAUGGAUUUGAGUAAGAGCAUACGGGGCCGGACCCGAAAGAAGGUGAACUAUGCCUGUAUAGGGUGAAGCCAGAGGAAACUCUGGUGGAGGCUCGCAGCGGUUCUGACGUGCAAAUCGAUCGUCAAAUAUGGGCAUGGGGGCGAAAGACUAAUCGAACCUUCUAGUAGCUGGUUUCCGCCGAA